rnacentral:rRNA from 1 species
AACGAACGCUGGCGGCAUGCCUAACACAUGCAAGUCGAACGAGACCUUCGGGUCUAGUGGCGCACGGGUGCGUAACGCGUGGGAAUCUGCCCUUGGGUCCGGAAUAACUCAGAGAAAUUUGAGCUAAUACCGGAUGAUGACGUAAGUCCAAAGAUUUAUCGCCCAGGGAUGAGCCCGCGUAGGAUUAGCUAGUUGGUGAGGUAAAGGCUCACCAAGGCGACGAUCCUUAGCUGGUCUGAGAGGAUGAUCAGCCACACUGGGACUGAGACACGGCCCAGACUCCUACGGGAGGCAGCAGUGGGG